UACGAAGGGGGCUAGCGUUGUUCGGAAUUACUGGGCGUAAAGGGUGCGCAGGCGGUCCUGCAAGUCAGGCGUGAAAUCCCCGGGCUUAACCUGGGAAUGGCACUUGAAACUACGGGACUGGAGUAUGGCAGAGGGAGGUGGAAUUCCACGUGUAGCGGUGAAAUGCGUAGAGAUGUGGAGGAACACCGAUGGCGAAGGCAGCCUCCUGGGCCAAUACUGACGCUCAUGCACGAAAGCGUGGGGAGCAAACAGG
rnacentral:rRNA from 1 species